UACGUAGGGGGCAAGCGUUGUCCGGAUUUAUUGGGCGUAAAGAGCGUGUAGGCGGCCAUUCAGGUCAGCUGUGAAAACUCGAGGCUCAACCUCGAGACGUCGGUUGAAACCGUUUGGCUAGAGUCCGGAAGAGGAGAGUGGAAUUCCCGGUGUAGCGGUGAAAUGCGCAGAUAUCGGGAGGAACACCAGUGGCGAAGGCGACUUUCUGGUCUGUAACUGACGCUGAGGCGCGAAAGCGUGGGGAGCAAACAGG
rnacentral:rRNA from 1 species